rnacentral:rRNA from 1 species
AAUAGAUACCCGGGUAGUCCAUGCCGUAAACGAUGUCUACUAGCCGUUGGGGCCUUUGAGGCUUUAGUGGCGCAGCUAACGCGAUAAGUAGACCGCCUGGGGAGUACGGUCGCAAGACUAAAACUCAAAUGAAUUGACGGGGGCCCGCACAGGCGGUGGAGCAUGUGGUUUAAUUCGAUGCAACGCGAAGAACCUUACCUGGUCUUGACAUAGUAAGAACUUUCCAGAGAUGGAUUGGUGCCUUCGGGAACUUACAUACAGGUGCUGCAUGGCUGUCGUCGGCUCGUGUCGUGAGAUGUUGGGUUAAGUCCCGCAACGAGCGCAACCCUUUUCCUUAUUUGCCAGCGGGUUAAGCCGGGAACUUUAAGGAUACUGCCAGUGACAAACUGGAGGAAGGCGGGGACGACGUCAAGUCAUCAUGGCCCUUACGACCAGGGCUACACACGUGCUACAAUGGUCGGUACAAAGGGUUGCUACCUAGCGAUAGGAUGCUAAUCUCAAAAAGCCGAUCGUAGUCCGGAUUGGAGUCUGCAACUCGACUCC